CUGUAAUGAUAAAAGGGGAAAAUGAGCCCUGGCAUAGUCUGUUAGAAGUGUAUGCCUCGCCUGCACGGUUACAUUACAGCUAAGUCACGCGCCCACAUACCUUGUAGGACUGGGACUCUGGCGAGAACAAUAAAAACUUGUACAUGCUUACAGUGGGAAUUGCAAUGCCUCGGUGCAGGAAUGUCAUCCAAAAAAACCCUACCUUAUACUCCUGAGAGCUCGCAGAGGACCAAAUUUUCACCAUCAUAAUUGCAAGAGGGUCUUGAAAUCUGCUACUGAAUAUCAGCAUUAUCUUAUCCUUACUGAAUAUAUUGGGUCUUAAGGCCAUUUGCUACGCACAAAUGAGGCAGGCCAAAAAUCCCCUGAGGCUCUCAGGGUGCAGUAAGAGCAGCAAGAGCACUCAGGACUGCCUUUGGCCGUCGUCAGAUGCGUUUGCCCUGGGUGCAUCUGAGGCGGGUGAGGAUGUUACUGCCGCUCAUCGCCCGGGGCGACAUCGCCCCUCGGCAUCACAAACACACACUUGUUUCCUAACCUGCUCAUGUCAAAAUGACAUGCUCAACAGCUUGGGUACUGGAAAUGCGUGAGCAAACUGGGACUGCCUGGACAGGAGAGGAGCUGUGGCACUUAGUGCUAAACGCAACAUCUGCGGGACUUGAAAGCGAGAAUGAGGCAGAGCGUGCCCCUGCCACCAACUGCGGAGGGCACUGCCAGCGACGGGAGAUGCAAAGUCGAUCUUAACAAAUAUUAACGAGUGUUAAAAGAUGCAAAACUAUUUUACAUGCACAGA